rnacentral:rRNA from 1 species
UGACAAACCGGAGGAAGGUGGGGAUGACGUCAAGUCAUCAUGGCCCUUACGGCCUGGGCUACACACGUGCUACAAUGGUCGGUACAAAGGGUUGCCAAGCCGCGAGGUGGAGCUAAUCCCAUAAAACCGAUCGUAGUCCGGAUCGCAGUCUGCAACUCGACUGCGUGAAGUCGGAAUCGCUAGUAAUCGUGAAUCAGAAUGUCACGGUGAAUACGUUCCCGGGCCUU